CUUCCUGUCAUUGUCCUGGACUCUGGUUCGGCUCCCCUGUGGGUUGAACUGAUUUAUACUUUUGCCUGUGCUGUGGCGGGUGGCUGCCUCCAGCUCUAGGCUUUGUUGAUAUAUUGGGAGCAGUUUGUUCACUAAUGGAAUACUCCAGGUCUCUGGAAAAACUGUUUGGGGACCACAUCACAAUAGUUAAGUUUCCUAUUAUGAACACAUUAAAAAGCUGUCAUUAAGCAGGCUACAGUGACUCAUACAUUGGCUAGCCACAGAUAUGACUGGUGGAGCUCAUCGACAACAGCAGGAGUAGAUUAGAGUGGAUCAAAUGUUGCUUUCCAGGUUAAAUAGGUUUCAAACGUACAAUCUGUCUUGAUCACUUGUUUUGUUUAAGCAAGAUUAAUUCAAUCCCAGCUAACAGUGAAAGAA